rnacentral:pre_miRNA from 2 species
AGGUUUAUAUGGUAUAGCCAAGGAUGACUUGCCGGAGACUUAUAUCUUUACGUAUUGGUAGGUUGAUCGGCAAGCCAUUUUUUCGGCUAAACCGUUGCCUUG